rnacentral:lncRNA from 1 species
AGCCAAUACCUAAUAGUGAAGAAGAUAUGGUUAAUCCAAUAGUAGCGACAUUUAAGAAUUGCUACUAGGUAAUGCCUGCAUAUUUAGAAGAGUAUAUGGUGGUUCAGCAAACUGGUUACCUGCAAUUCUUGGCGUGAGGAAAUUCUUUGAUGAACGUACCCUAAAUGAUGUUCCAGCUAUUGCAUUUGCACAGGCCUAUUAGGCUGCACUUUGUGGGGUUACAUGAGCUGACAAAACUAAGGGUAAGCCAUGGC